rnacentral:lncRNA from 1 species
ACCAAAAAAAAAAAAAAAACCAAGACAAGACUACCAAAAAUACUAGCUGAACCUUAGAAACAAGAGAAGGAAGACGCUGCAACUACUCCUCUCAAAACACAGACCCGUCUUCCUCCUCACACCCCCAGCCCUCAUCAACUCGCCGCGAUCCCUUCAAACCAGCCAGCCACAACGCCGUUUCUCCAUCUACAAGAACUAUCGCUGCUAGAACAGGACCCCUCUCUCCCCUCCCCUCCGAUUGUCAUCUUCUCCAAUAGACCAACGCCGCCCCACCCUCCUCUCCAAAAAACCCUUCAGUCGUUCACCCACCGGACAACACCACCUGAAAUCCGCCGGAAUUCCAUCAGCCACCCGACCCUUAUUUCCUCUCUUACGUGUUCUUUUCAUAUAUAAUAGAUGUAGAAAAAUUUCAGUUAGCUCUUGUUCUUAAUUUUAUUUCAAAAUUAGAAAAUUAAAAAAAAAGGUUACGAUUCUUUUCUAUGAAUUUCGUUUCGAAAUCGAUUUUCGUUUGAGGUACUAAGAAUUGGUUCGAGUUUGUUGCCAUUGAGUUUGGAGCUUCAGACGUUGUCGAUGCGUGGUUCAGUUUGCAUUUUCUAUUCAUAAUUUGAUCGUUGUAUCUAAUUUCGGUCAUAACCGCUUCUUUUCUUUGUCCUCGUAAUGCCGUUGCAGUUCAUUCUUAAAGUUGAGGUGCAUACUACAACCUCUAUCCCUAUUUUGAUUAAUUCGUAUGAGCUGAGCCUUUGGUUGGUGUGUUUAAUCUUUUUUGUUAAAUUACUCUCGUGAAUACUCUCUCCAUGAAUGAUUUGAAUUUGCAGAAUGAAUGACUUUGGUUGAUCUGUUUCAUUAACUUUUGUUCUUAUAUUAAGAAAUAGUUCUGUCACUUGCUCCAUGUUAGAACUCUUUUAAUGUUACCAGUAUCUUUUCUGCUCAUUUUCGUCUAAAACUUGAGACAAGAUUUCAAAUAUCUCCUCAUUUCUAAGGUUCUAUUUGGAUAAGUAUAAAAGGGCUUUAUAAAAUUGUUUGGAAUUAAGGGGGAGAUUUAAAACUAGUAGGUAUUUGUUUUUGACUAAAAUUUAUGAGGGAUAGAAGUU